UAAAAGUCGUAACAAGGUUUCCGUAGGUGAACCUGCGAAGGAUCAUUAACAAUGAAUCUCUUCAUUAACACCGUGAACUGUCGGGAGCCAGCAAUGGCGCCCAAACCCAAACACUACAACUUUAAUCAGAGUCAAAUAACUUUUGUUAUAUAGACAACUUUUAGCAACGGAUCUCUAGGUUCUCGCAACGAUGAAGAACGCAGCGAAUUGCGAAAAGUAAUGUGAAUUGCAUAAUUCCGUGAAUCAUCAAAUCUUUGAACGCAUAUUGCGCUGCCUGGAAUUCCGGGCAGCAUGCCUGUUUGAGUAUCAGUUUCAACCAUCAAGAAUUUAUUCUUGGAAUUGAGUCGUGUUAUCAACUGACUUUAAAUACAUGGAGUGCCCUUUCCCCGGCAUACAGAGCCAGUCCUUCACGGGAAUGUCUGUCUUGCAGUCGACUUGGUAGGCCUACUAACUUUAACUUUGAUCUCAAAUCAAGCAAGAUUACCCGCUGAACUUAA
rnacentral:rRNA from 1 species